UUUUCUUCCUUUUCUCUCUACUUGGGUGGUGCCCCCCUUUUCACUAUGUUAAUAAAAUUCACUUCAAAAAAAUUCGGGUCAAGUUUCAUAGAAUUUAUAUAAUCCUUUUGUGGAAACUCUUCACCACUUUACUAAUUUUUGGGCCAACAGUGGCUGCCCCAAUCCUACUUUAUAACUGAUUACGUUGUCUCGUAAGGGUGCACUGUGGCAACAAAAUCGCGAAGAAGCAUGAAUAACUCAAAAAGAGAGCGGCACCUAGUCGUUGAGAGUUUCUUCUGUCUUCAUAGAGGAAAUAUGAUCUUUGACCAUCCGGCUUCGCAUGACCUUGAUAGAAACACAAGUCCCUAUUGCUGUAAGGCCUCCAACUCCUCCCUCAGUACACUGUUGUGGUUCCCCACAGGAACGGGGUAGCGCUGACUUGCAUAGGUCCUUGAUUGACCUCCUAAUGAGAAUCUCAUCCCUAAGCUACUACUUAUUCUUUAUACCCUGAAUCUGUACCUACACCAUCUUGUUCAGUUAUUAUUAGGCUAUUUCUUGGGUUUUGAUGAUGGAGCGCCAUUCCGUGUAAUGAUGUUAUGACAUAUGAUUCUUGUGGUUUGCUUGAAUGUUAGUGUGUUCCAUCUUUCAUUUGCUUACGUCUACUUAUAAAAUUUCCACUAUACUAUGUACAUCUAGUACUCUGAAUUUUCUUAGUCUUCUAUAAUAAAAUAAGGUUCACAUGGUUUUCUUGGAAACAUAUUACUACAUGAACAUUCAUUGAUUACUUACCUGGUUACUUCAAUAUUCUCACUGAAUAAUGCAUAUGUAGCAUUUCUUUGUAGUCUUAUUCUCUGUAAUACAAAGUCCUCUAAUGUGUGAAUUAACCAGCUCCUUACUGGAUGAUCACAUGAAAGAAAAUACACUUCUCCCCUUGUUAUGUGCUGGCUUGAUUAUAUAUUUGACAAGUUAUUUCUUUGUCUUUUAUCUGGAGUAGCUUGGGCAGCUUAGAUUAACACCUCGAGUUGUAGUUGGUCACAGUUUUGGAGGAAAAGUUGCCUUGAGCAUGUUGGAUCAAACUCCAAAGCCAUUGGCACGACCUGUCAGAGUUUGGGUUCUAGAUGCUACUCCUG